AAACUGAAGAGAUUUUUUACAG
rnacentral:miRNA from 4 species